GGGGGCGUUUUGGAUUCGACGGGGACUGAUCGAGCAACCGUAGCGAGCCGGGGGGCUGCGCACCCGUAACAACGCAGACGCCAACAAUAACUGGCAACAAACAACAACUCGCUUUAGCUGCGUAAGUCAGCUAACCUCUACCACCCUAUCGCCUACGUAGGGUGACUAGGGGCCAACCCAAGUAGGCUACGCGGUUCGCCUUCCGCCUGGAGGCGGCCGAAGAAGACCCAUCAGGCACAGCUUUAAGUGAUCCUGUUCGGGGGAGCGCUUAAAGUUCAUCAAACCCGGACUGCGCUCGGAGAAGCGGUUGUGGCGAGGUCUUCGGACAGGGGUUCGAGUCCCCUCGCCUCCACCA
rnacentral:tmRNA from 1 species